AGUGAACGCUGGCGGUAGGCCUAACACAUGCAAGUCGAACGGCAGCACAGUAAGAGCUUGCUCUUACGGGUGGCGAGUGGCGGACGGGUGAGGAAUACAUCGGAAUCUACUUUUUCGUGGGGUAUAACGUAGGGAAACUUACGCUAAUACCGCAUACGACCUACUGGUGAAAGCAGGGGAUCUUCGGACCUUGCGCGAUUGAAUGAGCCGAUGUCGGAUUAGCUAGUUGGCGGGGUAAAGGCCCACCAAGGCGACGAUCCGUAGCUGGUCUGAGAGGAUGAUCAGCCACACUGGAACUGAGACACGGUCCAGACUCCUACGGGAGGCAGCAGUGGGGAAUAUUGGACAAUGGGCGCAAGCCUGAUCCAGCCAUACCGCGUGGGUGAAGAAGGCCUUCGGGUUGUAAAGCCCUUUUGUUGGGAAAGAAAAGCAGCAGGUUAAUACCCCGCUGUUCUGACGGUACCCAAAGAAUAAGCACCGGCUAACUUCGUG
rnacentral:rRNA from 1 species